rnacentral:rRNA from 1 species
ACUGCUCAGUAACACGUAGCUAACCUACCCUUGAGUCGGGGAUAACCUCGGGAAACUGAGGCUAAUACCCGAUACUGGAUUUACCCUGGAAUGGUUAAUCCAUGAAACUCGUGCUCAAGGAUGGGGCUGCGGCGGAUUAGGUUGUUGGCGGGGUACUGCCCACCAAGCCGACGAUCCGUAAGGGCUCUUAGCGGAGAGGCCCUGAGAGGGAGUCUGAGAUACUACUCCCAGCCCUACGGGGUGCAGCAGCUGGGAAUCUUCUGCAAUACACGAAAGUGUGACAGAGCGAACCAGAGUGUUCCUCAUUGAGGAACUUUUGCCAAAUCAAAAAAGUUUGGCGAAUAAGGACUGGGCAAGACUAGUGCCAGCCGCCGCGGUAAUACUAGCUGUCCAAGUCGCAACCAUCUUUAUUGGGUCUAAAACAUCCGUAGCUUGCUUAGUAAGUUCUUUGUGAAAUCCUGUCUCUCAAGGGCAGGGCGUGCAAGGAAUACUGCUUCGCUAGAGACUGGAAGACGUAAGAAGUACGUUUGAAGUAGCGGUUAAAUGCGUUAAUCUUAGACGGACUCACAACAGCGAAGGCAUCUUACGAGGACAGAUCUGACAGUGAGGGAUGAAGGCCAGGGGCGCAAAACGGAUUAGAUACCCGUGUAGUCCUGGCAGUAAACACUGCACACUAAACAUCAGUACCUCUUCGUGAGGCAUUGGUGCUUGAGGGAAGCCGAAGAGUGUGCUACCUGGGAAGUAUAGUCGCAAGACCGAAACUUAAAGGAAUUGGCGGGGGAGCAC